rnacentral:rRNA from 1 species
UGCGUAGGCGGUUUGUUAAGUCACUUGUAAAAGAUCUCAGCCCAACUGAGUAAGGCGAGUGAAACUGACAGACUUGAAUACGGUAGAGGUAAGUGGAAUUCCAUGUGUAGCGGUGGAAUGCGUAGAUAUAUGGAGGAACACCAAUGGCGAAGGCAACUUACUGGGCCGGAAUUGACGCUGAGGCACGAAAGCGUGGGGAGCGAACAGGAUUAGAUACCCUGGUAGUCC